AGAGUUUGAUCCUGGCUCAGAUUGAACGCUGGCGGCAGGCUUAACACAUGCAAGUCGAACGAUGACUCUCUAGCUUGCUAGAGAAGAUUAGUGGCGGACGGGUGAGUAACAUUUAGGAAUCUGCCUAGUAGUGGGGGAUAGCUCGGGGAAACUCGAAUUAAUACCGCAUACGACCUACGGGUGAAAGGGGGCGCAAGCUCUUGCUAUUAGAUGAGCCUAAAUCAGAUUAGCUAGUUGGUGGGGUAAAGGCCCACCAAGGCGACGAUCUGUAACUGGUCUGAGAGGAUGAUCAGUCACACCGGAACUGAGACACGGUCCGGACUCCUACGGGAGGCAGCAGUGGGGAAUAUUGGACAAUGGGGGCAACCCUGAUCCAGCCAUGCCGCGUGUGUGAAGAAGGCCUUUUGGUUGUAAAGCACUUUAAGCAGGGAGGAGAGGCUAAUGGUUAAUACCCAUUAGAUUAGACGUUACCUGCAGAAUAAGCACCGGCUAACUCUGUGCCAGCAGCCGCGGUAAUACAGAGGGUGCGAGCGUUAAUCGGAAUUACUGGGCGUAAAGCGAGUGUAGGUGGCUCAUUAAGUCACAUGUGAAAUCCCCGGGCUUAACCUGGGAACUGCAUGUGAUACUGGUGGUGCUAGAAUAUGUGAGAGGGAAGUAGAAUUCCAGGUGUAGCGGUGAAAUGCGUAGAGAUCUGGAGGAAUACCGAUGGCGAAGGCAGCUUCCUGGCAUAAUAUUGACACUGAGAUUCGAAAGCGUGGGUAGCAAACAGGAUUAGAUACCCUGGUAGUCCACGCCGUAAACGAUGUCUACUAGCCGUUGGGGUCCUUGAGACUUUAGUGGCGCAGUUAACGCGAUAAGUAGACCGCCUGGGGAGUACGGCCGCAAGGUUAAAACUCAAAUGAAUUGACGGGGGCCCGCACAAGCGGUGGAGCAUGUGGUUUAAUUCGAUGCAACGCGAAGAACCUUACCUGGUCUUGACAUAGUGAGAAUCCUGCAGAGAUGCGGGAGUGCCUUCGGGAAUUCACAUACAGGUGCUGCAUGGCUGUCGUCAGCUCGUGUCGUGAGAUGUUGGGUUAAGUCCCGCAACGAGCGCAACCCUUUUCCUUAUUUGCCAGCGGGUUAAGCCGGGAACUUUAAGGAUACUGCCAGUGACAAACUGGAGGAAGGCGGGGACGACGUCAAGUCAUCAUGGCCCUUACGACCAGGGCUACACACGUGCUACAAUGGUAGGUACAGAGGGUUGCUACACAGCGAUGUGAUGCUAAUCUCAAAAAGCCUAUCGUAGUCCGGAUUGGAGUCUGCAACUCGACUCCAUGAAGUCGGAAUCGCUAGUAAUCGCAGAUCAGAAUGCUGCGGUGAAUACGUUCCCGGGCCUUGUACACACCGCCCGUCACACCAUGGGAGUCUAUUGCACCAGAAGUAGGUAGCCUAACGAAAGAGGGCGCUUACCACGGUGUGGUCGAUGACUGGGGUGAAGUCGUAACAAGGUAA
rnacentral:rRNA from 1 species